ACCCUCCUGAGCAUAUGGAGACAUCCAGAAAAAGAUGUGCAUCGUCAGCUGUGAUUCCAUUGUGUGCUGGCAGACAGGAUCUGAGCCUCUCUUCUCUGGGGAAUUUAAGCCUCGCAGAAGUGUUCUUCGACUUUUACCCGUCAGAUUUCAGGCAAAAUAUGCAGUUCCAAGGGCUCCUGCUGUGUGCUGAAAUAACAUCGUGAACAGCAAUGCCUGUCGGUGAAAUGGUAACUUGGAGUAGUAAGAGUAAUUUCUGUUAUGACAUCGGUGGUUACGUGCUACUAAAGCAGCUUACCACUUCGAGGUUAGUAGUUUGUCAGCAGUAUUUGCAUUAUGCAAACACUUCCUGUUUUAAUGAUUCAGUAGCUUUAGCCUUCUCAAGAUAUACCAGGUAGGAAUGUGACGUGGGAAAUGACAGCUUGCAUAGUUUAGUCAGUGUGGGGUGCAGCAUUUAAAACAGAAACAAAAGAGAAAAUCAUCAUGAUGCAUUUUUACAUCAGGGCUUAAAACAAACCACCAAAAAGCCCGAAGUGUUUUGUCGGUAUUGUGAUGUAAGUUCUUAGAAAUAGCAUUAGCAUGAAUUUACCUGAUAGGAAAAGAAGCUGAGUGGAGGAAAUUAAUUUUCUUCUGCUCAGUCCUGCAUUUACUUAUUACCUAGAACAACGUUUCCUCUCCUGAGCUUUUAGAAUAUUUCUGCUGCUUUUAUAAAAUUACUUUGAAUUGAUGAAUAGUUCAAAAAAUAGAUCUUGAAUGUGGUGGAUCGACUGCAUUACGUUUUGUUAAUGUUUAUGAUUUUUCAAUCUCGUUCCGUGGCAAUAAGAUGUUAUUCAAGUUAAGCGUAAUAGAAAUUGUGCUUGGUUUUAGGGAAAUCUUGUAGGCUCCAUUCCUAUGGAAAGUGUAGGGUCAGUGGGGCGGCUGGCUUUUUGAAGUUAGCGCAUUCAUUUAGAUGUCGAAAGCUAUACAACAACACAUUAACAUUGCACACUUUUUUUCCCCCCUUCUGCAGCUGCAUCAUUAUACCAUUCCAAUCCUUGCAUUUCCUUAAAUGGCUUCCAUAACAAUCUCCCAUUAAUACAGUUACUGGCAGAUAGUAUUCUUUCUUUGCUCUCAUUUUAGCAGUUAUAACUGAUAGUAAAUCUCACUUUUCUGUGAGCAUGGUCUGAUUAGAUUUUCAGGAGCCUUUUUGUAAAACGCAUUUGGUUUUUGCAGGUAAGAUGCUGUGCUCUCUGUGCAAAUCCCAAGUAUGGUUUUUGUGCUGUUUUUUGUUGUUUGCUGAAGAAGUGACUUGCUACUUGGAAAGGAUAAUGUAUUUUGCUGGAGUAGUAAAUGUUAUGGAAACUGUUCAUGUAUUAAUGAAGCAGCAAGGGGAUAUAGGUGACAAAUUAAAGAUACGUACUGAAUGUGUUGAUUUUAAUUCUUGGACAAUGCAGAUCACAUGAGCUUAUGUGGGGGGAUCCUGGGGUAUGGUGAGAUCGUAUAUCUGAUGAGCAGUGACUGAGUGUUGCAGUUUUGAUGCUUUUCUAGUGAGCUACGUAAGACAUAUUGUUGCUCUUUGGUAGGAUUUAUAGUGGACAUAUCACAAUUGGCUGCUUUAUUGGCUGCCUCAGUGGAAAAGACUGGGAUUGAAGAAUGGGCAUGGAAAGUGAAAUAACAUUUUACUUGCUAGGUCAGAAUUACUAUGGAAUCUUACACUGUCUGUGCAGUAAUUCAUCUGUAUGUGAACAAAUACAGUUUUUCAUUGCUGUUAGUAUUGAUCUCUAAUGAGCCCUACACUGGGAUUUUGAAGAAAAUUGCUCCAAUUAAAAACAAUGCAGUGUGUCACUUGUACCUCACAGGUUAUGUAGGAAGCACUAAAGUGCAUUUCCAAAGGAAACUUUGUGAGGAAGGAGGAAAUUCUGCCUAUGAAUAAAUUUGAUAGUAUAUACUGACACUUAUUACUGCUAUUUUUAUGAACUCACAAAUGCAUCACAUGCCUCCAUGACAGAAUCAAAUUUAGAAAAUUAAAUCAAGGUCAUAUGCUUUUCAUACCUAUGCAAGUGAGAGUUCAGGUAUUACCUGAUCUACAGUGGAGAUGACUUUCCUUCAGACUUCUUUCACCAGACUUUGAGUUUGCAAGCUUUUCUGUUUCUAAAGUAAUGUCAGGGCUCGUGGACCAGCCACAUUUGUUAUUCUCAAGAAUAAAUGUGAUUAUUUCAACUAGUUUCACUUGCUACUCUUACACAGAUUUGUACUUCGGUCUUUGGAGAUAUGAGCUGUGUCAUCCUCCCUUCCUAUCAACUUCCUAAAGUAGUUUCUUUCUGGAGGAAGACUGAGGUUAUACAGAUUAAUACAUUAUUUUAGCAGAUUUCAACUGCUGCUUCAGGAAGAGCUCUGCAACUCCAAGUCUGCAUGUUUUGAGGGUGGUUUUGGUCUUUUUUUUCCCCUAUAAUUGAAAUUUACAACUGAAAGUACACUGUUUUGUUUUAGUAGAGCUAGAAUACUUGUUGCCUUGAUCUUUCAUUGUUGUGGGUUUUGUUUUUUUUAAGUCAACCUGUUGAUACUCUCAAGUGUAGCUUUAAUGACUUAGUUUAAAGCUUUUUUAACUACUUUUUAACUACUAUUUUUUAACCAACUUGUGUUGGCAGUUGUGUUACAAAUGUACUUCUGAUUGUUUUGCUCUUUUCUGGG
ensembl:lncRNA